rnacentral:ncRNA from 1 species
UGAUAGCGAUGAAGCGUGAGGUUGCCGGACCUGUUGCAGGGAUCCGGGUUUUCCGUGGAGCGAAUGUCAAGUUACCAAAACUGGCGACAA